GGACUGUAGCUCAGUGGCAGAGUGCUUGCCUAGCAUGUGCAGUGCCCUGGGUUUAAUCCCCAGCACCA
rnacentral:tRNA from 1 species